rnacentral:rRNA from 1 species
GAUGAACGCUGGCGGCGUGCCUAAUACAUGCAAGUCGAGCGAACAGACGAGGAGCUUGCUCCUCUGACGUUAGCGGCGGACGGGUGAGUAACACGUGGAUAACCUACCUAUAAGACUGGGAUAACUUCGGGAAACCGGAGCUAAUACCGGAUAAUAUAUUGAACCGCAUGGUUCAAUAGUGAAAGACGGUUUUGCUGUCACUUAUAGAUGGAUCCGCGCCGCAUUAGCUAGUUGGUAAGGUAACGGCUUACCAAGGCGACGAUGCGUAGCCGACCUGAGAGGGGGAGCGGCCACACUGGAACUGAGACACGGUCCAGACUCCUACGGGAGGCAGCAGUAGGGAAUCUUCCGCAAUGGGCGAAAGCCUGACGGAGCAACGCCGCGUGAGUGAUGAAGGUCUUCGGAUCGUAAAACUCUGUUAUUAGGGAAGAACAAAUGUGUAAGUAACUAUGCACGUCUUGACGGUACCUAAUCAGAAAGCCACGGCUAACUACGUG